GAUCCUCAUCCAUCCUUCCCACAGCCAUUCCUCAUGCAACCGAGCUCCUCUCAUUCCCCAUGGACACGUCCGGCCUCCAGCUACCUUCGUCCAACGACGGCCAGGAGCCCCGCGAGCAGCAACUCUGCCCGAGCCGCUCAUGUGCGCCUCCCUGCACGAGCUCCUCGACCUCGCCGCCGGCAGUAGCAGCAGCUGCACCCUCUCGGCGCCGCCUGCACCACGUCGACCCCGCCGGAGCUGCGUCAACCCGGUGACCCCCAAGAGCUCUCCGUCUUGGUCUGAGCUCUCUCUCGAGGUCCCGUCGCAGUCGUCCUCUACAGUCGCUGCUCCGCCGCCUUGCCCGCUGGUCGCCGGCAGCCGCCUUCGUCCGCGGCCACAGAAGCCAGCAGCAGCGCUACCCCGUCCGAGCUACUUCGCCCGAGCACCCAUGGAGAGGGCCUCCCGAGCCUCCUCGUGCGGCUCCACCUCGAGCUUCCCCGCCCCGGAUCCAGCCGCCCCUGCUUCCCAUCGCGCCUCCCCGCCUUGGAUCCGGUCGUCCCCGCGACGUCCCUGCCGCCAAGUCCACGCCACGGCCUCUGCUUCCUCUUCAUCGAGCAGGAGCUCUGCUUGACCCGCGUGCUUGGAGAUCGAGCAGCUGCGCUCGUUCUCGAGAGCGUUGACUAGGCCCAGCCACAAGCCCCGCGGCCCAGCUCCCACCUCACCGACCGGGCCGAAACCCAUGGUUCCGGUUAUGUUGCGA